rnacentral:rRNA from 1 species
AGCGAACGCUGGCGGUAGGCCUAACACAUGCAAGUCGAACGGCAGCACAGUAAGAGCUUGCUCUUACGGGUGGCGAGUGGCGGACGGGUGAGGAAUACAUCGGAAUCUACUUUUUCGUGGGGGAUAACGUAGGGAAACUUACGCUAAUACCGCAUACGACCUACGGGUGAAAGCAGGGGAUCUUCGGACCUUGCGCGAUUGAAUGAGCCGAUGUCGGAUUAGCUAGUUGGCGGGGUAAAGGCCCACCAAGGCGACGAUCCGUAGCUGGUCUGAGAGGAUGAUCAGCCACACUGGAACUGAGACACGGUCCAGACUCCUGCGGGAGGCAGCAGUGGGGAAUAUUGGACAAUGGGCGCGAGCCUGAUCCAGCCAUACCGCGUGGGUGAAGAAGGCGUUCGGGUUGUAAAGCCCUUUUGUUGGGAGAGAAAAGCAGCAGGUUAAUACCCUGCUGUUCUGACGGUACCCAAAGAAUAAGCACCGGCUAACUUCGUG